rnacentral:rRNA from 1 species
AUUGAACGCUGGCGGCGUGCCUAAUACAUGCAAGUCGAACGCGAAAGUCCUUCGGGAUGAGUAGAGUGGCGCACGGGUGAGAAACACGUGGGUAAUCUGCCCAGAAGUGGGGAAUAACUCCUCGAAAGAGGAGCUAAUACCGCAUAAGACCACGACAACUAAGGUUGUUGGGGUUAAAGGUGACCUCUGUUUACAAGUUAUCGUUUCUGGAUGAGCCUGCGCAACAUUAGCUAGUUGGUGGGGUAAUGGCCUACCAAGGCUACGAUGUUUAGCUGGUCUGAGAGGAUGAUCAGCCACACUGGAACUGAGACACGGUCCAGACUCCUACGGGAGGCAGCAGUAGGGAAUAUUGCUCAAUGGGGGAAACCCUGAAGCAGCAACGCCGCGUGAGUGAUGAAGGCCUUCGGGUCGUAAAGCUCUGUUGUACGGGGAGAACGUGGGUAUGGCUAACAUCCAUAUCCAGUGACGGUACCGUAUAAGAAAGGGACGGCUAAC